AUUUAGCGGAAGAUUCUCCGUGGGUACAACUCCCCCUCUGUUGCUCCUGGCUGCAGGGUGGAAGGAACAGGAACGUCAUCGUGGGCAGUACUCUUAAGGUCACACCACGUCUGGUGGAAUGUGCUGAACUUGAGAGUUUGAGAUCCAACUCCAGAGAGCACUUUUGAAAUGGAAAUGCAGUCAUCCAAACAGUGAGUGGUGAGCCACGCCCUGCACCGCCCAGCCCCAAGGCAGGGGACACUGUGUACAGAGCCCGUGAGCCAAAGGCCUUGCUGGCCAAGUUGAGGCAAGAGGUGCUCUGCCCCGGGAGCCCUGGCCUCUCUUGGGCAGAGUCCAGGGCUUCCAGUGGGAAUCCUUUUGUGGUGAUUGGGUAGGCACAGUUGGGAUCAGAGAGGAAGAUUGAAUCUGUUAUUGGACAAGCUGCCUGGCUUCCAUCUGUCCAUCAACUAAUUUAUUCCAAACCAUGUGCUCAGCUCUGAGUGUGGCCCUAGCUCCCAGUGUGGGCAGGGACCAGAGCAGACCUGGAGGAGCUCCCACCUAGCCAUCCGGUCCGCCUGCCUGGGACAACUCCGUGCACCAGGGCCUCCGCAGGAUUUGGGUGGGGCUAUUCAACCCUCCACGCUGCUGAGCCCUGGGGUAGUGAUGACUGGCUGUGAAGUUGGGCCAUGUCGCCAGCCCCUCUUCCAGGGCAUCCUGGUCCUCUUUGAAUCUUGAAUAAGGACCAGCACGGUCUGGUGACACACAGACAUAGAGGUGAACACGUGGAGUGCUGGACACUGAAUGGUGUUCCCUCAAAAUUCUUCAAAAAAUUUUUUUUAAAAAAUAUUUUUAUUUGUAGAUGAAUACAAUACCUAUAUUUUUAAAAUUUAUUAUUUAUUUAUUCAUUCAUUCAUUCUAAUUAGUUAAACAUGACAGCAGAAUGCAUUUCAAUUCAUAGUACACAUAUAGAGCACAAUUUUUCAUGUCUCUGGUUCUACACAAAUUACAGUCACACCAUUCGUGUCCUCAUACAUGUACUUAGGGUGAUGAUAUCCAUCUCAUUCCACCGUCUUACCUACCCCCAUGCCCCCUCCCAUCCCCUCCCUCCCCUUUGCCCUAUCUAGAGUUCUUCCAUUCCUCCUCUGCUCCCCCCAUCCCCAUUAUGGAUCAGCAUCCACUUAUCAAAGAAAACAUUCGGCCUUUGUUUUUUGGGAUUGACUUACUUCACUUAGCAUGAUAUUCUCCAACUGCAUCCAUUUACCUGCAAAUGCCAUGAUUUUAUUCUCUUUUAAUGCCCAGUAAUAGUCCAUUGUGUAUAUAUACCAUAGUUUCUUUAUCCAUUCAUCUAUUGAAGGACAUCUAGGUUGGCUCCACAGUUUAGCUAUUGUGAAUUGUGCUUCUAUAAACAUUGAUGUACCUGUGUCCCUGUCAUAUGCUGAUUUUAUAGACCAAGGAGUGGGACAGCUGGGUCAAAUGGUGGUUCCAUUCCAAGUUUUCUAAGGAAUCUCCAUACUGCUUUCCAGAUUGGUUGCACCAAUUUGCAGUCCCACCAGCAGUGUAAGACUAUGCCUUUUCUCCCACAUCCUCACCAGCACUUAUUUUGUUAUUAAUUUAUUUUUACGUGGUGCUGAGGAUUGAACCCAGUUCCUCAAAAUUCUUAUGGUGGGCUGGGGUUGUAGCUCAGUGGUAGAGCGCUUGCCUCGUAUGUGUGAGGCACUGGGUUCGAUCCUCAGCACCACAUAAAAAUAAAUGAAUAAACAAAGAUAUAUAUUAUUAUGGUGAAGUCCUCACCCGCCCCCAAGGUGGUUGUGUUUGUAGGUGGGGCCUACAGGGAGAUGACUGCAGUUAAAACAGCAUUCAUAGGGUGGAGCCUCUUCUGAUAGGGCCGCUGCCUUAAUAAGAACAUGGGGAUGUUAGAGUUCUCCCCUCCAUGUGAGGACACAGCCAGAAGGCAGCCAUCUGCAACUGGGAAGAUGGCCCUUGCCAGGAACCCAGUCAGACAGCACCUUGAGGUUGGCCUUCUAGCCUCCAGAACAGUGAGAAAAUAAACUUCUGUUGUCGAUGCCACUUAGUAUGUGGGAUUUUUUUUUCUUUUUCUUUCUUUCUUCUUGUUCUUCUUUCUUUUCUUCUUCUUCUUCUUUUUUUUUUUUUUGAUAUAGCUUUCCCCUAUACUACCCAGGCGGACCUUGAAUUUGCAAUCCUCCUGCCUUAGCCUCCCAAGUAGCUGGGAUUAUAGGCCUGCGCCACUGUGCCUGGCGCAGUCUGAUUUUGCUAAGGCAGUCUGAGGAGAUCUAAGGCAGGGAAUUAUUCAAAAAGCUCUAUUUUGUUCUAUAAAAAAGAAACCCGAGGGGCUCCAGUGUUCCUGGGCCCCUGUUCUGCGUUUCUCCAAUGAACUUUGUUCCCCCUGGUUUGCUGCCGUCAGUUUGAACUGGCCCACGUCCAGGCCCUCUCCAGGCCCUCUCCAGGCCCUCAGGCCCUUCUAGCUACCACUGUUGUCCUGGGCCUCUACUCAGCCAUUCAUUGCACACAAACUACUUUGAUGUCACAUUCAAUAGACACUUUUUAGUCCCUGUCUGACUUUUUUCUUUUUCAAUGCUAGGGAUGGAACCCAGGGCCCUGUGCAUGCUAACUAAGUGCUCUCCAACUGAGCUACACACCCAACAUUUUGUAAGAUAAAAAAGAAAAAUUGAAGACAGAGUCUUGCUAAGUUGCCCCUGCUGGGCUGGAACUGGCAAUCCUCCUGCCUCAGGCUCCUGAGUAGUUGGGAUUGCAGAUGUGCGCCAUCAUGCCCGGCAAUUAUUUUUUAAAAAAUUCUUUCUCCUCCCUUGCAUUUCUGGACCCUGGUCCCUUCUGUUUCUCUUCAUUCCUUCCUGGCAUCUCUUUUUCAGUCUUUAGCCACCAUCUGCCACCCAGCUGCCCCACACAGAGUGUUGCUGUUAGCCAGGUCUUGCCUCUUUGUCCUCUUCCUUGCUGGCUGCCUCUGAAAUCUGUGGGUACAGCCCAGAUUCCUUGCUGAACCCCUGACAGGGUGUCUCUCAAGCACAUCGCGUGGUGUGUCCAUUAAAUGGAGCCUGCUGUCUCCUGCUCUGCUCUCAUUUCUGCUUCUUACUCUCAUAUGGACAGCCCUUAGAACUAUGAGUAUUUAUUAUUUCUAUAAAAGAGAAAAGAUCAAUGGAUGCCCAGCGCCCUUUCUAAAGCUGCGGCAGAGAAGUGGACUCUUGUCUAGGAGAGCAGGGUAUAGCAGAUUUCUAGUGAUGUCUCUGUUAUGGACGGUUUUUGGGAAGGGCUGGGGCAGGCUUGUGUGAGACACUGAAGUAUGGAACACUGCUUUGUUAUGAGAUGGGGCUGGACCAGAGAUGGCACUUUGGUGACCACAUCCAGCUCACAGAUGCAUUUUGUUUGGCCCAUCUGAAUUGUUCAAAAUUGAUUGAUGGGUUGCCAACAUUAAAACAACAACAACAACAACAACUGGGUAUUCCAGCCGGGCGCAGUGGUACAUAGCUGUAAUCCCAGAAACUCCUGAGGCUGAGGCAGGAGAAUUGCAAGUUCAAGACCAGCCUCAGCCCUCAGACUUAGCCUCAGCAACUUACUAAACAACUAAGCCCUAAGUAAGAUCCUGUCUCAAAGAUUAAGGAUAUAACUCAGUGGUAAAGCACCCCUGUGUUCAAUCCCCAGUACCAAAAAAGGGGGGGUGGCCCUGGAUAUUCUAAUAUAAAAGAUAUAUUUCUAGCAUUUUAAAAAGUCAGGUUUAGCCAUUCUAGGCCACAGCACAGCAGCAAUAUUUGGAGCUGGUUUACAGCUGCCCCAUCAGAGGGACCAUUCUCCAGUCUUCACCUGCCUGCUUUACUCUAUGUAACCACCUGGGUCCUGAAAACAUAUGAAUUUGUUAUACCUGACCUAGAUAUUCUCCAGUUUUCAUUUACCCUGUGAUUUUUUUUUUAAUUAUCAUAUUUAGGUAGCAGAGAAAUUUUCCUUGGGACUUUCUUGAGCUUCCCCCAUAUGACUCAUCCUUCGGUGAAAAUGCUCUGACUACCUGCUGUCUGGCUCUCUCUCCACUCCCUUGUCCUGUUCCUAUACUUCCCCGGUUCAGGUCUUGAGCUCUGUCUGAGGCUCAUUCCAUCUCCAUUCUGUGUCUUUUUUUUUUUUUUUUUUUAGUACCAGGAGAUUGAACCCAGGGUGCUUGACCACUGAGCCCCUUCCCUAACCCUUUUUAUUUUUUUAUUUUUUAUUUGAGACAGGGUCUCACUGAGUUGUUCAGGGCUUUGAUAAAUUGCUGAGGCUGGCUUUGAACUCCUGAGCCUCCUGCCUCAGCCUCCCGAGUUGCUGGGAUUACAGGUGUGCGCCACCGUGCCCAGCAUCCUCUGUCUCUUCAAAGCCCAGCCUUUGCAGGCAUUUAGGUAAAAAGCAUGUGUGCCUUUGUCUUUCCAAUACUCUGUCAGUUUGCCUGAUAUUUAUUUGCACUUUUAUUUACUAUUUGGUGGUACUGGGGAUUGAACACAGAAGCAUUCUACCACUGAUCUACAUCCCCAGCCCUGUCUAUUUUUAAAAAAAAAUAUUUAUUUUGGGGGAAUACCAUGUUACCAGCUAUGGCCCCCCUUCUCCCUUGUGGGAGAAGCCUAUAUUACCCCCUUUUAAAUAAACCCUGCUUCAUAUAUAUAUAAAAUUGUAGUUGGACACAAUACCUUUAUUUUAUUUAUUUGUUUUUAUGUGGUGCUGAGGAUUGAACCCAGGGCCUUGCAUGUGCUAGGCAAGUGCUCUUUCACUGAGCCACAACCCCAGCCCUCUGUUUUUUAUUUUGAGAUAGGAUCUCACUAAAUUGCUGAGGUUGGCCUCAAACUUGUUAUCCUCUUGCUUCAAUCUUCCUAGUUUCUGGGAUUACAAUUCUGUUUUUCUGACCUUUAUUAUUAUUACUAUUAGUAUUAGUAGUACUGGGGAUUGAACUCAGGGGUGGCUUACUGCUGAGCCACAUCCCCAGCCUUUUUAUUUCUUAUUUCUUAUUUUGAGACAGGGUCUCACUGAAUUGCCAAGGCUGACAUCAAACUCUCCAUCCUCCUGCCUCAGCCACCUGAGCUGCUGGAGUUGCAGGCAUGAGCUACUGCUCUGGCCUCUGCCUUUUAGAAUAAGAUAUUAGAAGAUAGAGGAAUAGAUGGAGAUGCUGAGGCAGGAGGAUCACAGAUUCAAGGCUACCCUAGGCAACUUAGCAAAACCUGUCUCAAAAUUAAAAAAAAAAAUUAAAUGGCUGGGAGUGUAGCUCAGUGGUAGAGCAUCCUUGGGUUCAAUCCCUAGUGUGUGUGUCACACACACACACACACACACACACACAGUAGAAAAUUCUUUUUUAAAAAAAUAUUUAUUUUUUAGUUGGACACAAUACCUUUAUUGUAUUUAUUUAUUUUCAUGUGGUGCAGAGGAUUGAACCCAGGGCUUCUCACGUGCUAGGCAAGCGCUCUGCUGCUGAGCCACAACCCCAGCCCCCUGUAGAAAAUUCUUAAGGUUAUAUAAGGUUCCGAACAUCCUCUAACACACAUAGAGGAACUAAAGACAGUCUAAGGAGCUGCUGGGACAGUUAGGAAGGCCCUCAGUUACAGGUGAUAGCAAACUCCCCUUCAAUGUCUGGAAAAAAAAGCCACAGAACAAAAUGUCUGGCUACUGCAGCUGGUAGGGACUCCUCUCUCGUGACCAGGGGAUGGUGGCAGACGUUGUACUAUCAAAAGGCAGGAGGAGAGUCAUCUGUUUUAUCAGCAAUGUAAACACUUGCCCAGAAAUCCCCAACUGAUUUCUGGUUUUAUUUCAGUGGCGUUACAGGUGGAGUUAUAUCCUGCUCCUCCCCCUCCCUGUCCUCUACCCUACAAAAGAUAUGUUGGAGUCCCAACUCAGAAUGUGACUUUAUUUGGAGACAGUUCUUAACAGUGGCAAUCGAGUUAAAAAGAGGGCAUUAGGGUGGGUCCUAACCCAACAUGAGUGGUCUUUAUAAAACGUGGAAAUCCAGACACUAGCAGCCUGCACAGCAGGAAGGUGGCGUCCACAGGCACUAGGAGAAGAUGGCCAUGCACAAACCAAGGACAGACACCCAGAACAGGUACUUCCCUCACAUACUCAGAAGGAUCUCAUCCAGCUAAUACUUUGAUUUCAGGUUUCUGGCCUCCCAAACUGUGAAACAGUACAUUUCUAUUGCUUAACCUAUGCUGUUUGGAGUCCUUUGUUUUGGCAGCUGUAGCAAACUAGCACAAGUUAACAGAUCAUGACACAGAAGAGAGGCAGGGAAAGUGAGUGCUUGGCUGGCAUACUGCUGCCCUACGAAGAUGAGGAGCAGUCGGGUGUGAUGGUGUGCGCCUGUAAUCCCAGCAUCUCAGGAGGCUGAGGCAGGAGGAUCACCUGUUCAAAGCCAGACUCAGCAACUUAGUGAGGCCCUAAGCAACUUAGUGAGAGCUGUCUCUAAAUAAAAAUAAAAAAGGGGUGGGGAUGUGGCUCAGUGGUUAAGCACCCCUGGGUCCAAUCUCUGGUACCAAAAAAAAAAAAAAAAGAGGAUGUAGUGGUAAGGAAAAAGAGAAGGGUGGAUAUUGGACUAGCAACCAAGAGCACCUGCUGAUAUCCUGGUAAGUUGGGGACAGAAAGACUGGUCUACAAAAAAGACUGAAGAAGAUGAAUGAAUUUAUGAUUUCCUAGCUUGUUGGUGACUAAACAGUUGAUCAAUAAACACUUCCUAAGCAUGUAGGGGAUCUGCAUCCCUGUGCUUUGUAGCAGAUACGUCAGUGUCAGUCUCAGCUUUUCUCUCAAGUAGCUCAUAAUUAGAGAGGGGACACAUGGUCUGUAUUUAUAUCUAUAUACCCACGGGUCUCAGUAGCCCGAAUAUGAAAACUAAUGUUUAUUUCUUUGGCUUGGUCCUCACCUGCUGAAUUGCAGGAACCUCUAUCUCAAAUCCCUCCUUUUGUAGAGACUGCUAAUUUCCUCUUAGUAUCCAUUUCACCUUCUUCAUUUCAGUAAUAAAAUCUAUAGGUUUUAGCUGGGUACUUGACCACCCAGCCAUAGACUAAUUUCUCAGCCUCACUUGUGGCUAGGUGUGGUCAUAUGGCUAAAUUCAGACUUGGAGAUAUAAUAAAGUAAUGUGUGCAGCAUCUGGGUCAUCUCCUUCAAGGCAAAGUGGCUUCCUCUGGUCCUGCCAGCUCAGAACUGGUGUAAUAACUCACCUGCCUCCUUGGACCCAGAGAGGCAGGGCCAUGUUAAAAAUGACAGAAUAGGGGCUGAAGUCGUGCCUCAGUGGUAGAGCACUCGCCUGGCAUGUGCGGGGCCCUGGGUUCAAUCCUCAGCACCACAUAUAAAUAAAGGUAUUGUAUGCAACUACAACUAAAAAAAAUAAAUAAACAUUUUUAAAAAAUGACAGAAUAACUGUCUCCAUUUCAGAGCAGUGCUGUCAACCUCCCCUGGAUCACUUGUUUCCUGAGGGAAAAAAAAAUAAACUAUUCCAUUUAAACUGCCCAGUGUUGUGGGGGUCUUUGUUAUAGCAGCUUAACUGUACUAAUCGGUAUACAAAGUGAUAUACAAAGCAGGUAUCCCAUGAGUACUUGCAGACAUAGUUGUCCUCUCCACCCAGACACAUCUUUUUAUUUUUUUAGUUGUAGAUGGAUACAAUAUUUUUGUUUUAUUUAUAUAUUUUUGUAUGUGGCGCUGAGGAUCCUACCCAGUGCCUCAUGUGAGGCCAGUACUCAGCCAUUGAGCUACAACCCCAGCCCCAACCAGGCACAUUUCACAAGAGCUUCAUUUCCAAGUCACGUGGCAGACCCACCUCUGGAUCUUAGUUUCUCACUAGGACCCAGAAGCUGGGGGUGGGGUUAGAGUUAGGCAAACAAAAACUUAAGGAGGAACUGACUUUCAGGCUUCUUCAAGGAAUAGGGUUGGCACUGAAAAGGGAGUGCCUCCUUAAAUUUUGUAACAAGGGUGACACUGGUACCUCCCUAAAGGCUUGUUCUUUGACCUAACUGCUACUGAACUCUGAUUCCACUGCUAGGAAUUCUUCCUGUGGAAAUAAACCAACAGGUUUUUAAGGCAUAUGUAUAUAAUGAUAGUUUUCAUGAAAAAGUAUAGAAAUAUAUAACCAAAACGACAGUCAUCUAAAUGAUAAUGGGCUGGUAGUUACCUUUGGAAGGUAGGAUCACAAGUGAGUUUCCCCAUUGCCUUUUUUAAUGUUUUGCCACUUUCUGCACACUGCAAAUAGCAUUUUUGUAGUUGUUGAUGGUGGGGAUAUUAUUUAACAUAAUUUUAAAUUGUCCUUUUUUUUUUUUUUUCCAAAUGUGACUCAUCAGGCUGGGACUAAUGUGACAGGUCCAUUAUAGACAGGCUGGGACAAGCAUGCUGGCCUGGGCCUUCCUGAGGGCUUUGUGGGAGGAGAUGUGGUAAUUUGGGGGCACUGCAUGGUACUGAGUUGCUCCCUGGGGAAGCUCAGCCUACCUGGCACCACUGUGGCUGGAGUAUAGUCCAUGGACUUGAACCUCAACUCUGCCAUGUACUAGCCUCAGGAUUUCAGGCAAGGCCUUUAGCCUCUGUGCUCAAGUUUUCACAUCCCUACAAUGGAGACAGCACAAAUGAUGCCUUCCUUGGGUGGUGUUGUGGCUGGAGUAAGAAAAUGUGUAUAAAGUGUGGACACAGCCUGGCUCACUCAGGGUGACUCGGGAGGUGGGCAUUGACAUUGUUAUGGACACCCCCACCUGGAUGUGUCAGUCUGACCUCAAACACAUCAUGAAUGUCUCCACGCCUGAUCACUCCAUUCUCCAAACCUGUUCCUUUCUGUGGCACCAUCCCAUAAUGUCUUAAGCCAGAAGCCAGGUGGUUUCCCCAAAUCCAAACCAUUGCCCAGCUCUGGUGAUUCUUCCUCCUGCUCUCCUGCAUCUUCUGUGUGCUGUUGCUAUCACCUCUUCCUUGGAAGACGGGGUCUCCUCAUUGUUCUUCCUGGACCCCACUAACUCUUCUCCUCAUUGCAGAUAGAGGAAACUUCAAAUACAAACCUGAUCUCUUCAUGGCUCUGUUCAAAAGCCUCUCUGAUUUCCAGUUGCAUUAAGACAUACCAGAUGACCAGGACCAGCACAGCCUGACCCCUGGUCACCCCUCUGUCUCUAGCGUUCCCUCUCCUUCUCUGACCACCAGCCUAAGGUUCUGUCGGUUCCUCGCAAAGACCAGCGCUUUGCAGCUCUGGGGCUCUGAUCUGCUCCUUCCUCUGCUUGGGACCCUCUUCUUCUUCUCUUAUUCUGGUUCACUCAGGCUCGCUCUCUCUUUUUAAAUUUUUUGUAGCUGUAGAUGGACAGCAUGCCUUUAUUUUAUGUUAUGCUAAGGAUUGAACCCAGUGCCUCACAUGUGCUAGGCAAGCACUCUGCCACUGAGCCCCAGCCCCAGCCCUCAGGCUCUCUCUUUAGGCCUCUGCUGGAUGCACUUUCCAUAAAGAGGCCUCCCCAACCACACAAUCUAAAUCAGCCCUCCCUUUUAUUUUCUCUUCCUGUACUUUCCUGCAAGACACUUUUCACAAACUGUAAUAAUGAACAUGUAUUUGUAUGUUCCUUUAACAUCUGUCUCUACUUUCAAAUUAAAAGCUUCAGGCCAGGCCUGGUGGUGAAGUUCUGUAUUUCUAGCCAUUCAGGAGGUUGAAGCAGGAGGAUUGAAACUUCAAGGCCAACCUCUGCAAUUCAGUGAGACCCUGCCUCAAGAUAAAAAACUAAAGGGCUGGGGAUGUAACUCAGUAGUAAAGUGCCCCUGGUUCAACAAUCCUUGGUACUAAACAAACAAACAAAACUUUCAGGAAAGCAGCAAUUUUUUUCCUAAACUCUGUAACACCUAACAUAGUGGCUGGAAAAAAAUGCACACUCAGGGGGCUGGGGUUGUGGCUCAAGAGGUAGAGCGCUCACCUAGCAUGCGUGAGGCACUGGGUUUGAUCCUCAGCACCAUAUAAAAAUAAAUAAAAUAAAACUAUUGUGUUCAACUACAACUAAAAAAUACUUAUUAAAAAAAAAAUCAACACCAGGCGCAGUGUUGCAUGCCUGAAUCCUACCCUCCUGGAGCUGAGAUAGGAGGAUUGCAAGUUCAAAGCCAGCCUCAGCAAAAGUGAGGUGCUAAGCAACUCAGUGAGACCCUGUCUCUAAAUAAAAUACAAAAUAGGACUGGGGAUGUGGCUCAGUGUUUGAGUGUCCCUGAGUUCAAUUCCUGGUUAAACCCCCCCCCCCCAAAAAAAAAUUCUACUGGUUCAUGAAGACCCAAAUCUGGGAAGUAGUACCCAACAGGGCACUGAACAUGAACACAGAGCUGGGAGAAGAUGUGCAGAAUGAGCAAGAUCCUGGAGCCUGAGUGAGUGACUCAAGUUCACCACCGGGUGGGGCUCAGAUAUAGCAAAACUCAGGAAGGUGGCAGGGCUAAAGCCUGAGAGAUGCUUGUUCACAGUCACUUCUGUGUGACUCUUGCUUCCCACAGUAGCAUGCAAGCACCUUGAGGGCACUGCCUGCUUCUGCAAACCCUGCAGUACCUGGCUUCUGCUGGGUCCCACUCAUCAGGGUGAAUCCUGUAGAAGAGUGACUGGGUGAACUGCUUUUCAGUCACAGAAUGGCAGAAACUUGAAAUGACCUGAGUUCCUGCUGAUACAUGGAGGGUCUGACUCGCACAUGUCUUCAUAUUUUGCUUCCAUCUUUUCCCUUAAGAGUUGAGAGAUGAGCCUGGUGCAGUGGUGCAUGCCUGUAAUCCCAGCGGCUCAGGAGGCUGAGACAGAAGAAUCCCGAGUUCAAAGUCAGCCUCAGAAACUUAGUGAGGCCCUAAGCAACUCAGUGAGACCCUGUCUCUAAAUAAAGUAUAAAAUAGGGCUGGGGAUGUGGCUCAGUGGUAGAGUGCCCAAUCUCCAGAACCCACCCCCCCACCCCCCAAAAAAAGUGUUGGGGAUGUGGCUCAGAGUUCAAGCACCUCUGGGUUCAAUUCCCAGUACCAAAAAAAAAAAAAAAAAGAAAAAAGAAUGGACAUGUAGCUUAGUGGUAAAGCACCUCUGGGUUCAAUCUCCAGUACAAAAAAAAAAAAAAAAAAGUUGAUAGAUGAGGGCCUACAUGUGGAGAAGGAAUAGAAGGGGAAAUGUAAAGCUUUGUAUUUGUCUACUAGGGCUUUUAUAAAUUGGGUGGCUGAGCAACAGGAAUACAUUGUCUCACAUUUCUGGAGGCUAGAAAUCCAAAAUCAAGGGGUCAGCAGGGUUGAUUUCUUCUGAGGGCUGUGAAGGAAGAAUAUUUCUGGACCUCUCUUCUUGGCUUAGGUGUGGCCAUCUUCUCUCUGUGUCUGUUCACUUUGUCGUCCCCCUGUGUGUGUGUCUGCAUACAGAUUUUCCCUUUUUAUAAGAACCCCAGUCAUAUUGGAUUAGAGCCCAUACCAAUGACCUCAAUUUUAACUUGAUUAUAUCUUUUUAAAAAAUAUUUUUUUCUCUAGUUAUACAUGGACACAGUAUCUUUAUUUUGUUUAUUUAUUUUUAUGUGGUGCUGAGGAUCGAACCCCGUGCCUCACCUGUGCAAGGCAAGCGUUCUGCCACUGAGCCCCAUCCCCAGCCCUUGAUUAUAUCUUUAAAGAGUGUAUCUUCAAAUGAAGUUACAUCCCAAGAUACUGGGCUUUAAGACUCCAACAUAGCUGUGUGUGUGUGUGUGUGUGUGUGUGUGUGUGAGAGAGAGAGAGAGAGAGAGAGAGAGAGAGAGAGAUACUAAUCAACCCAUAAUAGGCCUUGAGAUUGCUUCUAGAAACUGUCUAAUGGGAAGUGGUCCCCAUCAGGGUCUUCAGUCACAGAAGUUGAGCUUAGUCUGCAGAGUGGUGCCCCUUUCAUAAGUACCCUAGAAUUGAAAUUUUUUAAAAAUAUUUAUUUUUUUAGGUGUAGAUGGACACAACACAAUGCCUUUAUUUUGCUGAGGAUGGAACCCGGGUCCUGCCCAUGCUAGGCGAGCGCUCUACCAUUGAACCACAAUCCCAGCCCCUAGGAUUGAAAAUUUAUGCUGUUAAGUGCAGGGCAGACCCUUCAGGGAGCAGUUAUAUAACAACUUUGUAAUUGCACAAGAGGUUUCUUUGUGCAAUUGGAAAAUUCACAAGGCUUUCCAGUACCAAUCAGGGCUAUGUCCAAGGCCUAAUAAGCAUUUGAGUCCCUUUCUGUUUACAGGUGAAAGUGUAUGGUUUCUGACUCAGGUGGCCAAUCUUGGACAAGGUCUCUAAGGAUUCCGGACCUUCAAAGAUGUUCUGGAUCUCUUCAGAGGAACCUGCUUGAAGCCUGUUGAGUUGUUUUUUUUUUUUUUUUUCACUGAGAAGUCUGGGUGGGGCUUCCCUUGCACAAUCUACCUUUGUGACCCCCUUGUUUUUGCUAUUCUGAAACUGAAGAUGGAAAUGAAUGGCUUGCAAUUUCUAGUCCCUCCCUGGCAGUGAGAGAUAAAAAUCUCAUUAAUUGACUGCAUUAAACAGAGUCAGUAACUGAUGUGAUUAAAAAUCUUAGCACUAUUGAUAAAUACUUACCAAGUACGCAUUGUGAUCUAGGCAUUGCAGAGGUAUUUAUUGAGCCCUGGUGUAGAUUGAAAAAUCAGAUCAAUUCUCCCCUCAUCUGUGUACUCACAAUGUUUGCAAUGUGACUCUCCUCUCUUCCUAUCAGGAGAUGGAAGUCUCUUUCCUCAACUUGAACCUGACUUACAUCUGUGUAGUUGACAUAACUGUGAAAGUGAAGAAGUGUCCGUCUUGAGCGUACAGCUUGAGAGGAUGUGCCCAAGUCCACUCUCGUUCCUGGGACCUUGCAGUUCCAUUUGAGCAAUCCUGGGCUGGCCUGCUGAUAGAUGAGAGACAGGUGGCCCACUUGCCUCAGCUGACAGCUAACCACCCCCAGAAACAGAGGCUGCUGGCUGCCUGGCAACUGGUCACAGAUGCAUAUGGGAGUCCAGCUGUGACUAGAACCACCCAGCUAAUCCCAGCCUAAAAUGCUGACCCAAAUGCAUUCUGCUGUCAUUUAUUUUUUUAAA
rnacentral:lncRNA from 1 species